CCUACGGGUGGCAGCAGUAGGGAAUGUUGCGCAAUGGGCGAAAGCCUGACGCAGCAACGCCGCGUGAACGAGACGGACUUCGGGGUGUAAAGAUCUGUAAGUGGGGACGAAAAAUGACGGUACCCACAGAGGAAGCACCGGCUAACGCCGUGCCAGCAGCCGCGGUAAUACGGAGGGGGCAAGCGUUGUCCGGAAUCAGUGGGCGGAAAGAGUUCGUAGGCGGCAUGUAAAGUCAGGUUUUAAAGGCGCCGGCUCAACCUGUGUAUGGCACUUGAUACUUGCAAGAUGGAAUGCUGUAGAGGUAACGGGACUUCCUGGUGUAGCGGUUAAAUGCUUAGAUAUCAGG
rnacentral:rRNA from 1 species